CAAGAUCUAGUUUUAAAAAACUCUAAAAGCUUUAGCAGAAGCAGAAACUAGUGCUUCAGUGCAAUAGUUAAAGACUGGCUGAAUGUACAUUUUAAAAGUUAACUUUAAAGUUUCCCAGCCCUACUUGAUACCAUCAAGUCUCUAAAGAACUGAGAGCUUAUCUCAGCUUAAUUAAAUAUUUUAAAUGUUGAUAACAUCUUAUUUGUCAAGAGCAAUGAGGAUCUCUACACUGUUUUUUGUUGACAAAUUGUCAUUGCAUUGACUAGAGCUUUAAUUUUCUCAACUGUUUUUUUCUUUUCAGUCAUGUUAUUUGGCAUGUGUUAAUGUAAGUAGUAGUUAUGUGUGUCGUAAGUAGCAAUUUAUUUUCUUUGGACCAUCAUGCAAAAAAUGAUUAUUUUUAUUGAAAAUGUUUUUCAUUGUAGGAGAGUUGAAUAAAACUAGGACCUGGCAAUUUUGUCUGAGUUAGUACUUCUAGGUUUCGGAAAGUGCAUGAAACUUGUUGCAGAUUGCUGUCAUGUUAUUUGGGGUUAAGAGAAAGGCAGUGUAGCUUAUUUGUUUGUUGAUGCCAGUGUUUGGAAAAAUUCAAGUGCAGAAAGUUUGAUUUUUACUCCACCGAUUUUACUUUGUAGCUUCUAAUUUCCUGAAGAUUUCCGUUAGUUAUGUGGAGUGAAAGCUAGAUUCCAUUACAAACAUACAAAGCAACUGGCUGGAAAUAGAUCUGCAGGAAGGAAAGAGACUGCAGUUUCAUCCUUGCUAUGGACUCGUCAAUCUGGAAUAGGGAAUAACUGAGCUGGAGGCAGAUGUCAUCUCAUUGAAGUUGAGAGUGACACAAACUGGUCAAUAAAGUAACUUUAUCUCAUCAGGGAGAAUCCGCAGACUCUUGCAAAGAUUCAUAUUUCAUGCAAGCAGUUAAAGACUGUCAAAUGCAAACUGGAAGUAUUUCCCUAAUUAUCAGAAUAUAGGUCUGAAUUCAGCAUCAAAAUGUUUUCCUGUAAAUAUGGUGUCACAUAUUGCUACUAGCUCGUCUAAGAAUCAAGAGAGGAUGAGGAUUCAGACUGCCGUUCCACAGACUAUUGAAAGUCCAGAAAGUUUAGUAACGCUGGAAAAUCUACCGUUUAAGAAGGAUGAAAGCUUCAAGGAGUUGAACAAAAGGAUGGCAAAAGAUAAUAAUAAUAUGCGGCAUUUUAAUAGAUGCAAAGGCAAGAAAAGUUGGCAGAAAACAUUGAUUAAUUGUUAAAAAUAAAUGUAUAACAAAUAUAAUGACUGCUUUUUGUAAUUUUGCAUAAUAAAAAUUGUA